rnacentral:rRNA from 1 species
UACGUAGGGUGCGAGCGUUAAUCGGAAUUACUGGGCGUAAAGCGUGCGCAGGCGGUGAUGUAAGACCGAUGUGAAAUCCCCGGGCUUAACCUGGGAACUGCAUUGGUGACUGCAUUGCUGGAGUAUGGCAGAGGGGGGUGGAAUUCCACGUGUAGCAGUGAAAUGCGUAGAGAUGUGGAGGAACGCCGAUGGCGAAGGCAGCCCCCUGGGCCAAUACUGACGCUCAUGCACGAAAGCGUGGGGAGCAAACAGG